GUAGGGAAUAUUGGGCAAUGGAUGCAAGUCUGACCCAGCCAUCCCGCGUGCCGGAAGAAGGCCCUCAGGGUUGUAAACGGCUUUUGACGGUGAAGAAUCGACAGGAUGCGUCCUGUUUUGACGGUAGCCGUUGAAUAAGCACCGGCUAACUCCGUGCCAGCAGCCGCGGUAAUACGGAGGGUGCGAGCGUUGUCCGGAUUUAUUGGGUUUAAAGGGUGCGUAGGCUGGAAGGUCAGUCAGCGGUGAAAAGCUGUCGCUUAACGAUAGUCUUGCCGCAGAUACUUCCGUUCUUGGAUGAGGAGGAGGCCACUGGAACGGAUGGUGUAGCGGUGAAAUGCAUAGAUAUCAUCCAGAACACCGAUUGCGAAGGCAGGUGGCUGUACCUUAAUCGACGCUGAUGCACGAAAGCAUGGGGAGCAAACAGGAUUAGAAACCCCUGUAGUCC
rnacentral:rRNA from 1 species